rfam:Gossypium hirsutum cultivar TM-1 chromosome 11, whole genome shotgun sequence
AAACCUUGCAUCUGGCAUUUUCUAAUUAACUCCUUGAAAAACUUUGAUGCUUCAUAUAAUGUUUCAUCCGUAGGUUGUCGAAAGGACGUGACAUCGUUGCUCAGUUU